rnacentral:rRNA from 1 species
CCUACGGGGGGCAGCAGGGGGGAAUAUUGGGCAAUGGAGGAAACUCUGACCCAGCAACGCCGCGUGAAUGAUGAAGGUCUUCGGAUUGUAAAGUUCUUUUCUAAGGGAAGAAGAAAGUGACGGUACCUUAGGAAUAAGCCUCGGCUAACUACGUGCCAGCAGCCGCGGUAAUACGUAGGAGGCAAGCGUUAUCCGGAAUGACUGGGCGUAAAGGGUGCGUAGGUGGUUUGAUAAGUUGGUAGCGUAACUCCGAGGCUCAACCUCGGCACUACUACCAAAACUGUCGGACUUGAGUGCAGGAGGGGCAACUGGAAUUCCUAGUGUAGCGGUGGAAUGCGUAGAGAUUAGGAAGAACACCAGUGGCGAAGGCGGCUUACUGGACUGUAACUGACGCUGAGGCAUGAGAGCAUGGGGAGCAAACAGGAUUAGAUACCCCGGUAGUC